UGGAGAACUGAGGGGGGCUGCUCCUAGUACGAGAGGACCGGAGUGGACGCAUCACUGGUGUUCGGGUUGUCAUGCCAAUGGCACUGCCCGGUAGCUAAAUGCGGAAGAGAUAAGUGCUGAAAGCAUCUAAGCACGAAACUUGCCCCGAGAUGAGUUCUCCCUGAGACUUUAAGUCUCCUGAAGGAACGUUGAAGACGACGACGUUGAUAGGCCGGGUGUGUAAGCGCAGCGAUGCGUUGAGCUAACCGGUACUAAUGAACCGUGAGGCUUAACCUUACAACGCCGAAG
rnacentral:rRNA from 1 species